GAUGAACGCUGGCGGCGUGCCUAACACAUGCAAGUCGAGCGAACGGACGAGAAGCUUGCUUCUCUGAUGUUAGCGGCGGACGGGUGAGUAACACGUGGAUAACCUACCUAUAAGACUGGGAUAACUUCGGGAAACCGGAGCUAAUACCGGAUAAUAUUUUGAACCGCAUGGUUGAUAAGUGAAAGACGGUCUUGCUGUCACUUAUAGAUGGAUACGCGCUGCAUUAGCUAGUUGGUAAGGUAACGGCUUACCAAGGCGACGAUGCAUAGCCGACCUGAGAGGGUGAUCGGCGACACUGGAGCGUAGCCACGGCCCAUACGACUACGAGAGGCAGCAGUAGCGAAUCUUCCGCAAUAGGCGAAAACCUGACGGAGCAGCGGCGAGUGAGUGAUGAAGGUCUUCGGAUCGGAAAACUCUGUUAUUAGGGAAGAACAUAUUUGUAAGUAACUGUGCACAGCUUGACGGUACCUAAUCAGAAAGCCACGGCUAACUACGUG
rnacentral:rRNA from 1 species